rnacentral:rRNA from 1 species
ACGCUGGCGGCAGGCCUAACACGUGCAAGUCGAGCGGUAGAGAGAAGCUUGCUUCUCUUGAGAGCGGCGGACGGGUGAGUAAUGCCUAGGAAUCUGCCUGGUAGUGGGGGAUAACGUUCGGAAACGGACGCUAAUACCGCAUACGUCCUACGGGAGAAAGCAGGGGACCUUCGGGCCUUGCGCUAUCAGAUGAGCCUAGGUCGGAUUAGCUAGUUGGUGGGGUAAUGGCUCACCAAGGCGACGAUCCGUAACUGGUCUGAGAGGAUGAUCAGUCACACUGGAACUGAGACACGGUCCAGACUCCUACGGGAGGCAGCAGUGGGGAAUAUUGGACAAUGGGCGAAAGCCUGAUCCAGCCAUGCCGCGUGUGUGAAGAAGGUCUUCGGAUUGUAAAGCACUUUAAGUUGGGAGGAAGGGUUGUAGAUUAAUACUCUGCAAUUUUGACGUUACCGACAGAAUAAGCACCGGCUAACUCUGUGCCAGCAGCCGCGGUAAUACAGAGGGUGCAAGCGUUAAUCGGAAUUACUGGGCGUAAAGCGCGCGUAGGUGGUUAGUUAAGUUGGAUGUGAAAUCCCCGGGCUCAACCUGGGAACUGCAUUCAAAACUGACUGACUAGAGUAUGGUAGAGGGUGGUGGAAUUUCCUGUGUAGCGGUGAAAUGCGUAGAUAUAGGAAGGAACACCAGUGGCGAAGGCGACCACCUGGACUGAUACUGACACUGAGGUGCGAAAGCGUGGGGAGCAAAC